rnacentral:rRNA from 1 species
UAUCUCUGUAGAGUCUGCAUAUCAAUAAGCGGAGGAAAAGAAACUAACAAGGAUUCCCCUAGUAACGGCGAGUGAAGCGGGAAGAGCUCAAAUUUGAAAUCUUAAAGGGUUUCCCUUUACGAAUUGUAGUUUAAAGAAGUGUUUUCUGUUGGAGUUUCGGUAAAAGUUCUUUGGAAUAGGACAUCAUAGAGGGUGAGAAUCCCGUAUUUGACCGUUACUUUCCAGCUGUGUGAUACACUUUCAAAGAGUCGGAUUGUUUGGGAAUGCAGUCCAAAAUGGGUGGUAAAUUUCAUCUAAAGCUAAAUAUUGGCGAGAGACCGAUAGCGAACAAGUACCGUGAGGGAAAGAUGAAAAGAACUUUGAAAAGAGAGUUAAACAGUACGUGAAAUUGUCAAGAGGGAAGCGUUUGACACCAGUGUUGUUUAGUUGAAAAUCAAUUAAAUAGUUUUCGAUUUUAAGUAGUAUUGACCUUAUCAGCUUGCUGCUUUCUUCUCGGAAAUUAUUUAAUGCACUUUUCAGUUAACAAGUCAGCAUCAAUUUCUUUUGUUGUAAAAAGGUAAGAGGAAGGUGGCUUGCGCUUCGGCUCAAGUGUUUAUAGCCUUUUACUUCUGCAAUCGGAGAGAUUGAGGUCUGCAGCGUGGAUCCUUCGGGGUUAGAUACAUUUGUGCUAAGCUAUAGCCUUGUAUAGACAACUUGUUGACUAUGAUCAGUCAUGUAGCUUACUCGCUUAUGCUAUUUUACCUACGCUUAGGAUGUUGAUCUCUCACAGUCGAGC